CAAUGUUUAGAAGCCCUGGGGAACUUAUUUAAAUGCAGUUUCUUGUUCUCCAUUUCUCAGCCUCCGCCCUGGUAAAGGUUGUGAGUGGGGUCCAGGAAUCUGGAUUUUUAACAGACUCCCUAGUGAUUCUUA
rnacentral:pre_miRNA from 1 species